rnacentral:rRNA from 1 species
GCCUACGGGAGGCAGCAGUGAGGAAUAUUGGUCAAUGGGCUUACGCCUGAACCAGCCAAGUCGCGUGAGGGAAGACUGCCCUAUGGGUUGUAAACCUCUUUUGUCAGGGAGCAACGCCGGCUACGUGUAGCCGGACGGAGAGUACCUGAAGAAAAAGCAUCGGCUAACUCCGUGCCAGCAGCCGCGGUAAUACGUAGGGGGCGAGCGUUAUCCGGAUUCAUUGGGCGUAAAGCGCGCGUAGGCGGCCUGUUAGGUCGGGGGUCAAAUACCGGGGCUCAACCCCGGUCCGCCCCC